UCCCAUCACCCCGAGUGGUCGGGACGAUUAUUGGGCCUAAAGCAUCCGUAGCCGGUUCUACAAGUCUUCCGUUAAAUCCACCUGCUUAACAGAUGGGCUGCGGAGGAUACUAUGGAGCUAGGAGGCGGGGGAGGCAAGCGGUACUUAGUGGGUAGGGGUAAAAUCCGUUGAUCCAUUGAAGACCACCAGUGGCGAAGGCGGCUUGCCAGAACGCACUCGACGGUGAGGGAUGAAAGCUGGGGGAGCAAACCGG
rnacentral:rRNA from 1 species